GACGCAUCACUGGUGUUCGGGUUGUCAUGCCAAUGGCACUGCCCGGUAGCUAAAUGCGGAAGAGAUAAGUGCUGAAAGCAUCUAAGCACGAAACUUGCCCCGAGAUGAGUUCUCCCUGAGACUUUAGUGCAGCGUCUUCAAAAGCGCACAUUGCGGUACCGU
rnacentral:rRNA from 1 species